AUGAACGCUGGCGGCUCGCCUAACACAUGCAAGUCGCACGAUUAAAGCACCUUCGGGUGUGUAUAAAGUGGCGAACGGCUGAGUAACACGUGGGCAACCUGCCCCUUUCAUUGGGAUAGCCACGGGAAACCGUGGAUAAUACCGAAUACUUCGAGACUUCCGCAUGGAAGACUCGAGAAAGCUCCGGCGGAGAGGGAUGGGCCCGCGGCCUGUUAGCUUGUUGGUGGGGUAACGGCCUACCAAGGCAAUGAUGGGUAGCUGGGUUGAGAGACCGACCAGCCAGAUUGGGACUGAGACACGGCCCAGACUCCUACGGGAGGCAGCAGUGGGGAAUCUUGCACAAUGGGCGAAAGCCUGAUGCAGCGACGCCGCGUGCGGGAUGAAGGCCUUCGGGUUGUAAACCGCUUUCAGCAGGGACGAGGCGAAAGUGACGGUACCUGCAGAAGAAGCCCCGGCUAACUACGUG
rnacentral:rRNA from 1 species